rnacentral:rRNA from 1 species
GCCAGCCCGCUCAGAAACUUAAAGGAAUUGACGGGGCCCGCACAAGCGGUGGAGUAUGUGGUUUAAUUCGAUGCAACGCGAAGAACCUUACCUAGGUUUGACAUCCGGAAGACCUUCCCGAAAAGGAAGGGUGCCCUUCGGGGAAUUCCGAGACAGGUGCUGCAUGGCUGUCGUCAGCUCGUGCCGUGAGGUGUUGGGUUAAGUCCCGCAACGAGCGCAACCCUAUUGCCAGUUGCUACCAGGUAAUGCUGGGCACUCUGGUGAGACUGCCCCGGUUAACGGGGAGGAAGGUGGGGACGACGUCAAGUCAUCAUGGCCCUUACGCCUAGGGCUACACACGUACUACAAUGGCGCAUACAAAGGGCAGCGAUACCGCGAGGUGGAGCCAAUCCCAAAAAGUGCGUCCCAGUCCGGAUUGCAGUCUGCAACUCGACUGCAUGAAGUUGGAAUCGCUAGUAAUUCGAGAUCAGCAUGCUCGGGUGAAUGCGUUCCCGGGCCUU